rnacentral:lncRNA from 13 species
AUGCCAAUGUGUUUUUGGUUCCUCAACAUAAUGCCAAUGUGUUUUUGGUUCCUCAACAUAAUGCCAAUGUGUUUUUGGUUCCUCAACAUAAUGCCAAUGUGUUUUUGGUUCCUCAACAUAAUGCCAAUGUGUUUUUGGUUCCUCAACAUAAUGCCAAUGUGUUUUUGGUUCCUCAACAUAAUGCCAAUGUGUUUUUGGUUCCUCAACAUAAUGCCAAUGUGUUUUUGGUUUCUCAACAUAAUGCCAAAGUGUUUUUGGUUUCUCAACAUAAUGCCAAAGUGUUUUUGGUUCCUCAACAUAAUGCCAAUGUGUUUUUGGUUCCUCAACAUAAUGCCAAUGUGUUUUUGGUUCCUCAACAUAAUGCCAAUGUGUUUUUGGUUCCUCAACAUAAUGCCAAUGUGUUUUUGGUUCCUCAACAUAAUGCCAAUGUGUUUUUGGUUCCUCAACAUAAUGCCAAUGUGUUUUUGGUUCCUCAACAUAAUGCCAAUGUGUUUUUGGUUCCUCAACAUAAUGCCAAUGUGUUUUUGGUUCCUCAACAUAAUGCCAAAGUGUUUUUGGUUCCUCAACAUAAUGCCAAUGUGUUUUUGGUUCCUCAACAUAAUGCCAAUGUGUUUUUGGUUCCUCAACAUAAUGCCAAUGUGUUUUUGGUUCCUCAACAUAAUGCCAAUGUGUUUUUGGUUCCUCAACAUAAUGCCAAUGUGUUUUUGGUUCCUCAACAUAAUGCCAAUGUGUUUUUGGUUCCUCAACAUAAUGCCAAUGUGUUUUUGGUUCCUCAACAUAAUGCCAAUGUGUUUUUGGUUCCUCAACAUAAUGUCAAUGUGUUUUUGGUUCCUCAACAUAAUGCCAAUGUGUUUUUGGUUCCUCAACAUAAUGCCAAUGUGUUUUUGGUUUCUCAACAUAAUGCCAAUGUGUUUUUGGUUCCUCAACAUAAUGCCAGUGUGUUUUUGGUUCCUCAACAUAAUGCCAAUGUGUUUUUGUUUGAAUGAUUAUUUUGGACCAGAUUGGAGACAUUAA